AUGGCUGCCAAGCUUGGGCAUCUCGCCCGAGCAGCUGCAGCAAUUCUCUGCGUGUUGAUUUUCCAUGUUACACCGUUUGAUUCCCUUGCUCAAGCGAGGGUACCAGGUGGAACUGGAACCUGCAUCACCAGCGAGCGGGAUGCACUUUUGUCCUUCAAGGAAGGCCUUCUGGACCCUGCUGGCCGUCUCUCGUCAUGGCAUGGCGAAGAUUGCUGUCAGUGGCAUGGUGUCCGGUGCAGCAGCAGAACAGGCCAUGUCAUCAAGCUCAACCUCCGCAACACCUACACACUUGAGUACUACACGGACACAACUGACAAGAGGUACAGCUUGAGUUUGUCCAAAGAUGAGUUGAGCUCCUCUUUGGCUGAUUUGCAACAGUUGAGGUAUCUUGAUCUGAGUGGGAAUUACUUCAACUACACAAGCAUUCCUGUGUCCAUGGGCUCUCUGGAGAACCUAAGGUAUCUCAACCUCUCAUUGUCAUAUUUCGGUGGGAGAAUACCUUCUAAACUAGGCAAUCUUUCAAAAUUGCAAUAUCUUGAUGUUAGUGGGCAAUUCGAUCCCGAUAGUAAUCUGCACGUGGUGGAUCUUGCAUGGUUGGAGCGUCUCCCAUUGUUGAGUUAUCUUGACUUGAGCUAUGCAAACCUCAGUCUUGUGCGGGAUUGGUUCCACAUGGUUAACAUGCUUUCUCCUCUGAAAGUUCUCCGCUUAGCAGAUUGUGGUCUUAAGAGCACAAGGUCUGCUACUUCAAAAUCAAACCUCACACAUCUCCAAGUACUAGAUCUGUCAGAAAACUCAUUUAACGCACCACUGGAACACAACUGGUUCUUCUGGGAUCUCACAAGCCUUAAGGAGCUGCACCUAUUCGAUUGCUACUUGUAUGGACCUAUUCCUGAAGAACUGGGAAACGUGACGUCCCUUCAAGUCAUAGAUUUCAGUUACAAUGAUCUCGUUGGCUUGAUACCGAGCAACUUAGAAAAAUUGUGCAAUUUGGAAGUGCUGCUUCUUGACGGUAACAACAUCAACACGAGCAUAGGGGAGUUCAUGGAUCGAUUGCCAAGGUGCUCAUGGAGUAUAAUACAAGUGUUGACAUUGCAGUACACAAAUUUGACCGGAAAACUACCAAUCUGGAUUGGGAACAUGACCAAACUCAGUGUUCUUUCAGCCCAUGGAAACAUGAUAACUGGUACUAUACCACUGGGAGUUGGAACACUUGGUAACAUGACAAAUUUGGAUCUCGGCUCCAAUAAACUCGAUGGUGUCCUCGUGAAGGAGCAUUUUUCAGGCUUAUUGAAUUUAGAGUAUGUAGACUUGUCCUACAACUCCUUGAAAAUGGACAUUGAACCACAUUGGGUUCCUCCAUUUAGACUAAAGGACAUAAACUUACACUCAUGCAUAGUGGGCCCCCAUUUUCCUGGGUGGCUUAGAUGGCAGACUGGCAUUGAAUCUCUUGAUCUUGGAAAUACAAAUUUGGAUGACGUCAUUCCUGAUUGGUUCUGGGUGACAUUUUCCCGAGUUCAGUACUUGGAUGCAUCAGAGAACAUGUUGCGUGGUUCACUACCGGCAAAUCUACAACACAUGUCGGCUCACGUUAUAUAUCUUGGAUCCAAUAAGCUUACAGGUCAAGUUCCACAACUCCCUAUAAAUAUAUCAUUUUUGAACCUGGCUUCAAACUCUUUCUCGGGAUCAUUGCCAUCAGUGCUAAAAGCUCCACUGCUUCAGACCUUGUUGCUUGCAGAUAAUCAAAUUACAGGCACCAUUCCAUCAUCCAUGUGCCAAUUGACUGGUCUGGUGCGGUUGGACCUAUCGGGGAACAAAUUAACAGGAGAUGUUAUGCAGUGCUGGAAGGAGUCAGAUAACAAUUCUUCGGCGUUCGAUGCAAACUCUGCUGAUCAAUUUGGUUCAUAUAUGCGUACUCUAGCAUUGAACAACAAUGAUCUCUCAGGUGAAUUCCCUAAAUUUCUUCAGAGGUCCUCACAUUUGGGUUUCCUUGAUCUUUCAUACAAUAGGUUCUUUGGAGCAUUGCCAAAGUGGUUACCAGAAAAAACGCCACUGUUGCAAAUCCUGAGGGUGAGAUCAAACAUGUUUAGUGGCCAUAUUCCUAAGAACCUUACUUUCCUUGAAAGACUUCACUAUUUGGACUUGGCCUAUAACAAUAUAUCAGGCAGUAUACCAUGGUCACUAUCAAACUUGGAAGCCAUGAGGAUUGGCAUACCUGGGGAUAGGAGUUUGAAACCUGUUCUUGAGGAGAGCAUUCUUGAGGAGAGCAUGCAGGUCAUCACAAAAGGCCAGACACGUGAAUAUACCUUUGAAAUCUACAGACUAGUGGUGAAUCUUGAUCUUUCUUGUAACAGUUUAACAGGACAGAUCCCCGAGGAGAUAAGUUUGCUCAUUGAGCUCACCGGUCUGAACUUAUCCGGUAAUCAAUUGAUCAGCAAAAUUCCAAACAAGAUUGGCGAUCUGAAGCGGUUGGAGUCCCUCGAUCUAUCCUACAACGAGUUAUCUGGUGAAAUCCCAUCAAGUUUGUCAGUUUUAACCUCUCUGAGCCACUUGAACUUGUCGUAUAACAACUUAUCAGGCCCGGUACCAUCCGGGCAACAGCUACAGGUUCUGGACAACCUGAACUAUACCUACAUCGGCAACCCCGGUCUAUGUGGCUACCCUCUCUCCAAGAACUGCUCUGCUAGUACUACUGAUGCGGAGCAAAGUGCCGACCAUGAAGAUGCAGAUCAUAUCUCAUAUCUCUACCUUGGGAUGGGCAUAGGGUUUGUGGUCGGCCUUUGGGUGGUGUUCUGCACCAUGUUACUGAGGAGAACCUGGGCGAUUGCCUACUUUCAGAUCAUUGACAAGCUGUAUGACAAGGCUUAUGUGCUGGUGGUUAUAACUUGGGCUCGCCUGAUGAAGAAGACCCAUGACGAUGCAGCGUGA
rnacentral:rRNA from 1 species